UUCCAAAAAUAAAGAGAAACUUCCAGCGGCUUCUUCCAUCUAUUCGAAAUCGAGUUAAAGCUACGGUUAACAGAUCAAAUGCUAUCCAACACGCUGGAACAGGCCGCAAAGGCAUAGAAGAUCAUCAGGGAAUCGCAGAGAAAGGUCAUCAAAGCAUUUUUGCCACAACUUUGGCCCUUGACGGGAUGCUUCAUAUGAUCGUUGCAGACAUCAAUUUCUUUUUUAUUUUUCAUCAAGUCAAGUAUCUGGAACAAGUCCUGGCUAACUUUGUAGUCCUUGUUGCAUAUCCUCACCGUCGAAUUGAAUCUUUUGAUCACAUUCUGAGCCCGUAUGGCCACCUGCUGAUAACAAUCUAGCCUCCCAGCAGACCUUUUCACAUGGUCAGCUAUGUGAUUCCAGAACUGGAUGGGAUAGUAGAAGAGUUUCUUUAGCUGUGGCAACUCCUCCAAUGUCAGGUGUCCACCUAUGUGGGCAGUCAGGCAAAUGACGAGAAACGUAACCGAAUAGAGCACCUUCAUUGCGGUCGAGAUUGAAAC
rnacentral:lncRNA from 1 species